rnacentral:rRNA from 1 species
AAUCCAUAGGUUAAUGAGGCGAACCGGGGGAACUGAAACAUCUAAGUACCCCGAGGAAAAGAAAUCAACCGAGAUUCCCCCAGUAGCGGCGAGCGAACGGGGAGGAGCCCAGAGCCUGAAUCAGCAUGUGUGUUAGUGGAAGCGUCUGGAAAGGCGCGCGAUACAGGGUGACAGCCCCGUACACAAAAGCGCAUGUGCUGUGAGCUCGAUGAGUAGGGCGGGACACGUGGUAUCCUGUCUGAAUAUGGGGGGACCAUCCUCCAAGGCUAAAUACUCCUGACUGACCGAUAGUGAACCAGUACCGUGAGGGAAAGGCGAAAAGAACCCCGGCGAGGGGAGUGAAAAAGAACCUGAAACCGUGUACGUACAAGCAGUGGGAGCACCCUUUGGGGUGUGACUGCGUACCUUUUGUAUAAUGGGUCAGCGACUUAUAUUCUGUAGCAAGGUUAACCGUAUAGGGGAGCCGGAGGGAAACCGAGUCUUAAUUGGGCGUUAAGUUGCAGGGUAUAGACCCGAAACCCGGUGAUCUAGCCAUGGGCAGGUUGAAGGUUGGGUAACACUAACUGGAGGACCGAACCGACUAAUGUUGAAAAAUUAGCGGAUGACCUGUGGCUGGGGGUGAAAGGCCAAUCAAACCGGGAGAUAGCUGGUUCUCCCCGAAAGCUAUUUAGGUAGCGCCUCGUGAAUUCAUCUCCGGGGGUAGAGCACUGUUUCGGCUAGGGGGCCAUCCCGGCUUACCAACCCGAUGCAAACUGCGAAUACCGGAGAAUGUUAUCACGGGAGACACACGGCGGGUGCUAACGUCCGUCGUGAAGAGGGAAACAACCCAGACCGCCAGCUAAGGUCCCAAAGUCAUGGUUAAGUGGGAAACGAUGUGGGAAGGCCCAGACAGCCAGGAUGUUGGCUUAGAAGCAGCCAUCAUUUAAAGAAAGCGUAAUAGCUCACUGGUCGAGUCGGCCUGCGCGGAAGAUGUAACGGGGCUAAACCAUGCACCGAAGCUGCGGCAGCGACACUCAGGUGUUGUUGGGUAGGGGAGCGUUCUGUAAGCCUGUGAAGGUGGCCUGUGAGGGUUGCUGGAGGUAUCAGAAGUGCGAAUGCUGACAUAAGUAACGAUAAAGCGGGUGAAAAGCCCGCUCGCCGGAAGACCAAGGGUUCCUGUCCAACGUUAAUCGGGGCAGGGUGAGUCGACCCCUAAGGCGAGGCCGAAAGGCGUAGUCGAUGGGAAACGGGUUAAUAUUCCCGUACUUGGUGUUACUGCGAAGGGGGGACGGAGAAGGCUAUGUUGGCCGGGCGACGGUUGUCCCGGUUUAAGCGUAUAGGUGUGUGUUCCAGGUAAAUCCGGUUCACUUUAACACUGAGGCGUGAUGACGAGGC